CUGCCCUUAAGUGGGGGAUAACAUUUGGAAACAGAUGCUAAUACCGCAUAGAUCCAAGAACCGCAUGGUUCUUGGCUGAAAGAUGGCGUAAGCUAUCGCUUUUGGAUGGACCCGCGGCGUAUUAGCUAGUUGGUGAGGUAAUGGCUCACCAAGGCGAUGAUACGUAGCCGAACUGAGAGGUUGAUCGGCCACAUUGGGACUGAGACACGGCCCAAACUCCUACGGGAGGCAGCAGUAGGGAAUCUUCCACAAUGGACGCAAGUCUGAUGGAGCAACGCCGCGUGAGUGAAGAAGGCUUUCGGGUCGUAAAACUCUGUUGUUGGAGAAGAAUGGUCGGCAGAGUAACUGUUGUCGGCGUGACGGUAUCCAACCAGAAAGCCACGGCUAACUACGUGCCAGCAGCCGCGGUAAUACGUAGGUGGCAAGCGUUAUCCGGAUUUAUUGGGCGUAAAGCGAGCGCAGGCGGUUUUUUAAGUCUGAUGUGAAAGCCCUCGGCUUAACCGAGGAAGCGCAUCGGAAACUGGGAAACUUGAGUGCAGAAGAGGACAGUGGAACUCCAUGUGUAGCGGUGAAAUGCGUAGAUAUAUGGAAGAACACCAGUGGCGAAGGCGGCUGUCUGGUCUGUAACUGACGCUGAGGCUCGAAAGCAUGGGUAGCGAACAGGAUUAGAUACCCUGGUAGUCCAUGCCGUAAACGAUGAAUGCUAGGUGUUGGAGGGUUUCCGCCCUUCAGUGCCGCAGCUAACGCAUUAAGCAUUCCGCCUGGGGAGUACGACCGCAAGGUUGAAACUCAAAGGAAUUGACGGGGGCCCGCACAAGCGGUGGAGCAUGUGGUUUAAUUCGAAGCAACGCGAAGAACCUUACCAGGUCUUGACAUCUUUUGAUCACCUGAGAGAUCAGGUUUCCCCUUCGGGGGCAAAAUGACAGGUGGUGCAUGGUUGUCGUCAGCUCGUGUCGUGAGAUGUUGGGUUAAGUCCCGCAACGAGCGCAACCCUUAUGACUAGUUGCCAGCAUUUAGUUGGGCACUCUAGUAAGACUGCCGGUGACAAACCGGAGGAAGGUGGGGAUGACGUCAAAUCAUCAUGCCCCUUAUGACCUGGGCUACACACGUGCUACAAUGGAUGGUACAACGAGUUGCGAGACCGCGAGGUCAAGCUAAUCUCUUAAAGCCAUUCUCAGUUCGGACUGUAGGCUGCAACUCGCCUACACGAAGUCGGAAUCGCUAGUAAUCGCGGAUCAGCACGCCGCGGUGA
rnacentral:rRNA from 1 species